CUACGGGUUGCUGCAGUCGAGAAUAAUUCGCAAUGCGCGAAAGCGUGACGAUGCGACGCUGCGUGGAGGAUGAAGGCCCUCGGGUCGUAAACUCCUGUCAGGAGGGAAAAGCCGGCACUUGGUCAAUACCCUUGUGCCCCGAUGGUACCUCCAGAGGAAGCCACGGCUAACUCUGUGCCAGCAGCCGCGGUAAUACAGAGGGGGCGAGCGUUGUUCGGAUUUACUGGGCGUAAAGGGUGCGUAGGCGGCGUGCAAAGCUGGAUGUGAAAUCCCGGGGCUCAACCCCGGAACUGCAUCCGGAACUGGCAUGCUAGAGACCAGGAGGGGAGAGCAGAAUUCUAGGUGUAGCGGUGAAAUGCGUUGAUAUCUAGAAGAAUACCGGUGGCGAAGGCGGCUCUCUGGAAUGGUUCUGACGCUGAGGCACGAAAGCGUGGGGAGCAAAUAGGAUUAGAUACCCUGGUAGUC
rnacentral:rRNA from 1 species